GGCCGUGCAUCCAGGAGGCCCCGCGCUCUCCUGUCUCCAGGGUGCUUGCAGCACCUCCACCCGCGCCCUGCACGGAGCACCCUGCCCCUCCCGCUCCUCUUUUGCCCUGGGCAUCUCCAGCCCCCCUCAGCCGCCCUCUCCAACCCACCAGGCGUCCCGCUCCUCACUGUCCAUCUCACUGUCCAGAGCUAGCAUGGCCUGGCCCUCCCACCUGGGCCCCCCUUCCUCUGGGACCCCCAGCCCACCCUCGCAGGGUCCUCCCCAGGCCUCCACUCAAAUGAAGAAUCAGGUCUCCCAGCUCCAGCCACUUGCUGGGGGAGUGAGCCCCCCCCCAUCCCCUCUGGCCAGUGCUCAGCUCUGCUGAGGCCACGGUGACCGCUGCCCUUCAGGACCUCACCCAUCACCCCUUCCUGCCACGUGUGGUGUGUGGAACAGAGUUCGGGGGCUGAGGAGGGGCCACCUCCAUCCUCAGUUCCUAUUCCCGGCCAGAGGAGGGACUGGCCUUAACCUUCAGGAGAUGUGAUUGACAUUUACAAUCAGCAGACUUGGACUGGAGCAGACCUCCCUCCAGACCGCGGUGGCAUCGUCCACUAAGCUGAAGCCUUGAGGAAAGACCGAGUCCCUGAGGAGGAAGGGAUUCAGCAAUUCAGCCGCCAGAGGCUUCUGACUGAGCUGCAACAUCAGCAUCCCGGGGGCUGCAGCCUGCAGGACCCAGUCACGCUCUGGAGUGUCAGGAUUUGAGCAAUGUCCUGGCUGCACCUAAGUGCUCCUGGGCCCUCCGAUUGUCCUACAGAACAAAGGUGUGACUUGUGCCUCAGCAGCUAGUGGCUGAUGGCGUGAAGGGCUCCACCCAAACCCCUGCACUCUCCUCGCCCGGCGUGGCCACAGCUGACUUCUCUCCGUGACGUGCAGCAGGCCCGCUGCUCUGCGGGACCCGGGCCUUCUCGCCUCAGUGCCCCUCUGCCACCCAGAGAUGUCAGGGCAGAGCAACAGGGAAGAGGGCGCCACAUGGCAGUCCCCCAGAGGGCAGGGCCACUGUGACCUAGUCACGACCUCCCAGGAGUGGGUGCAGAGGUGGGUCCUGGUGGAGCCCAGGGGAGGCCUCGCCCUCCACUCCCGGGAGAACCUGCUCUGCUUUGGCUGCGGCUGUGGCUCCAGCUCCCAGAACAGGCCUUAUGGGAACAGGCCUUAUCGGCCUUCCUGCACCCCGCCCCCCCUCUGCCCACGGCCAGGAGGGCCUCCCGGGGUGGGCCAGUGGCUGGUGGUCAGUGCCCGCCGGCUCUCAGGAUGCUAGGCCC